CGGCGAGGAGCGCUUCAUACUCGGCUUGGUUAUUGGAGGCUUUGAAGUCGAAUCGUAGGGCGUACUCGGUGACUACCCCAUCCGAAUUGGUGAGCAGGAAUCUAGCCCCGCUCCCUUGAGCGUUGGAAGCUCCGUCGAUGUGCAGCACCCAGGUGGAGAUCGGGUCAGGCUCGGAGACCACGUCUCGUUCGGGGUCCAUGUCUUCCGACCCCUGAUCGGCCGUCGGGCAUUCUGCGAUGAAGUCGGCCAGGACCUGGG
rnacentral:lncRNA from 1 species